rnacentral:rRNA from 1 species
UACGUAGGGAGCAAGCGUUGUCCGGAAUCAUUGGGCGUAAAGCGCGCGUAGGCGGCCUCAUAAGUCCGUUGUGAAAGUCAAAGGCUCAACCUUUGAAAGCCGAUGGAUACUGUGAGGCUAGAGUCCGGAAGAGGCGAGUGGAAUUCCUGGUGUAGCGGUGGAAUGCGCAGAUAUCAGGAGGAACACCAGUAGCGAAGGCAGCUCGCUGGGACGGUACUGACGCUAAGGCGCGAAAGCGUGGGGAG